AUAGGUUAUUAAGGGCAGUGAUAUAGAACAUCCAUAACUGCCUCAAACAAAAAACAGUUAAUGAAAUAUGUUUCAUCUUAAUGCUACUUCACGAUAGUGUUGACUCACACUCUCCUUUGUCCUAUAUAAUUAUAGCUGCCCCUGCUUUCUUUUGGUUUCCACAUGCAUGGAACAUCAUUUUUCAGCCUUCAGUCCAUGUGUAUCCUUAAAGCCGAAGACAAAUGAUUAAAAAGAAGCAGGCCAGUCUCACAGCUUGAAGGUAUGAGGAGGACUGAUCUUUCUAACCACAUUGUACAGUUCUGGACAUGUCCCAAGAGUCAUUUUCAAGAGAACUGAUGGUGUAGUUCUACCCUGAAGGUUGGCAUUCUUGGAACCCUGGAAGAAUUGAUGUUUUAGCUCAAUUCCAACCACAGGAAAAAAGAAAGCUGAUGUCCCAGUUUGAAGAUCAUUGGGCACGAGGAAUUCUUUCUUACUCAGAGAAGUUCCAGCUUUUUGUUCUAUUCAAUCCUUCAACUGAUUGGAUGAAGCUCAUUCACAUUAGGAAGGACAACUGCUUUAUGUAGUUAAUUUUAUCCAAAAAUGCCCUCACAGAAACAACCAGAUGUUUGACCAAAGGUCUGAGUUCCCCAUGACCCAGUCCAGCUGACACAUAAAAGUGACCACGACGAGCCAAGAGUUUUUGCUGUUUUCAUGUUGAUUUUUCAUGACAAGAGGAGAAGCUGUGUGAAUGCUCCUUUUGUUUUUUCUCUUUUUCUUAAACUUACAGUUCAAUGUGAUUAAAGGACAAAGGAUGAAUGUGUGAAGACUGAAAAGACAAGUUCUGGCUAUUCCAUCGAGGGCCUCAUUUGUGAAGCUAAGGCAUGUGAACCUUCCCUCUGGUGUUAAGGACCCAUCAAGAUCGUUAAACAAUGGAGAUGAUCAAAUUAUUUACUGCUUCACUAGCAUAAGAACCAGCCCUUGAGAAGACUAUACAGAGGUACAGUGCAACUUUUUCUUCUAAAGGU